CGGGAAAAUUACGGUUUUGGUUUUGUGGAUUUAUCGUAGGUGUUCGAUCGGUGAUAUGAAGUAUACAAUGAUGGUGGCAUCAUGGUUCUGCAGAACAAGAGAGAAGGAAGCGAACAUAUUAUGAGGUGUGUUUCGACGGUGAAGAAACAUAUGAAUUGCGACUAUGGGUUACCAACAAUGAGUGUGGUGGUGGUGGAAACGGGCUUGCGAUGAAGAGUGUUGUGGUGGUGGUUGAAAUGGGUUAGCAGCAAUGAGUUUGUAGCACAAUGGACUUUAGGCGAUGUAUUAAUAUGGCUAUUGAUGUUAAAACGUUGUUCUUUCAUUAUUGAGUUUUCACGAGUUGUUGUUCUUCAACAAACAUCCAAUUUGGAAAAAUAUACUGGCCAAUAUUUGGUGUUUCUACACUAGCAACAAUAGUUCAACCCAUGCCACAAUAACAACAAACUUUUCAAUCAUUAAGCAAGCCCUUUCUCAUGGUUGUUUCACAAGACUCAAAGUAGAGGCUAGAUCAUAAAACUUCAUUGGCAACUAAUAUAUCCCCAGAUAUCAAUUGAAUCCUUAUGAUUCUUUCCAUUGUUGUUAUUGUCAGCUUUUAAAAUAUGAGUUAUCUUGGUAACGCAUAUGGUAAGUCUUUUAUUCACUAAUCUAAGUCUGGAGGUGAUUCUUAUAUGUGUUUAUGUUUCCGUGUGAUAAUGAUUCCCAUGCUUUUUGUUGUACUAAAGUUUACAAUAACAGAUCAGGUCGCAAGGAAAGAAGGAUGAACUGGAGAACACACCUGAGGAGAUUAUUUCCAUGGUGAUGACAUUGGCUACUCCUACAUACCGUAUUGUUAUUGGAACUAUGAUUUAAAAUUUUGUAUUUUAACUGGCACAUACUAUUAUUUUGUGGGGGUUAUUAAUGGUUUUGGUGAUGAGUUAGUUAUGUGAUACAUGCAGGAAUUUAGUGAACAGUGAGAAGUGGACCCCUAUUUGAGUGCAAGUGGUUACCUUGGAGACAACACUCACCCUUUUUUGUAGCCCUGUCUAAGGAUAGGUGUAACAUUUCAAAUGAAGAGUUCCGCUGGAAGAUCUCUAACGUGGAAUAUGAGGUUAUGCAUCAUCUUCGUGACAGUGUCAAUGGAGGUUUUGAUGAAGAAAAGUUCAAUAGGGUGCCUUGAUUGAAGGGUGCCUUGAUUAAAGGUGCAGCGGGGUAAAUCAACAGUAGAAGAGCAGUCUCAAAGUGAAUCCCCAAAUCUCGAGGGAAAAGGUGAUAUACAUUUUAAUAUCAACACUGCACUAUGAUAGAACUUGGUGUAUCAUAAGCUCUCUUCCUUUCAUUGAGUUGCAGACGCAGAAAAAGCUACUUGCAAUUAUCGAAGCUACUUUCAUUUAGUUACCCUCCAAACAACCUUAACCUUCGAGAAAUGCAUUUCAGGUGCGAUUUAUCAGACUCGGUUUUAUGGUAAGAAUGUGCUUUGCUUGAAUUGUAUAGAUUUUCCAUUUCUUAUAUAAUUAAUACGUAUGGUUAAAAUUUAUUUUGUGGUUUGUUUCAACUCACAAUAAAUUCCAACUGUCAUUAAAUUUCACCUUUUCACUUUCCAAAUAAUGGCACAUUCCAAUGUAUAAUCAUUGGAUUAUGCAAUUGUCAUUAAACCUUCCCACCUCCCAAAUUAUAAAGCAUUUUUAAAACAACCAUUAUAUAUACAUGAUGGGAGUCAAUUACUUUUUCCACUCUCCUCACACAAAAUCGAAAGGGCAACAACAAGUAUAACCAAAAUGGACAAGGAACCACAACCUCCUAUCAAUGUAACUGUCAAUUGCAUCGAAGUUCCUCAUAUUCAAGAUGGAGAUGCAGUUGUUCAACCAAGGGGUCAGCCAACAGGAUUUGUUGCCUGUUGUAAGAAUGUGCGUCACAUCUUGCCUGUUGGUAGGAUUUGUUGCUAGUUUGUAGAUUUCUGUGAGGUUUUUAUGUUUUGGCUCACUUAGAUUGUUUCUUUGCUAAUUGUUUGAUGGUGUUACUAUGUUCUUUGUCUCUUUUGAGGCAAAUAAGGGGAGAAAAAGACACACUUCUCUUUGAGGAUAUUGUUGAAAUCUUUGAGGAUAUUAGUUAAACCUUUACGAGUGUACUAUUUGUGGUGCAUUUUUUAAGAGGUGUUUAAUCUAUGUUUUGCCUAAAAAAUAGUCAAAGGGAAAGUUUGUAAUUAUAGUUGAA